ACCACUCUGUCAUGACCGAAGGGUGCCUGGGCCAAAUUUGAGUGAGUGGCUUUGUGACAUGGUGCACAAGGUCACAUCACCAUGUGACCCCUUGCACCACAUUGCAAUGCCCAGAACAGGGAGGCAAAUCCAGCCGAGACAGGACCUGCUGAUGCUGGCACUGGGAGCAUGCCAGCUUGAGCUCAGCUGAUCAUGGAGACUACAUGUCCCAAAUGCGCUUCAGCCUGGUCUGCACAGGAGGUGGUGGAUCUCAUCGCUGCAUGGGGAGAAGAUUCUGUGCAGGCAGAGCUCCGAUCCAGCAGAAGAAACGCUGACAUCUGUGCAAAGAUCGCUUGUGAAAUAGGGGAGAAGGGCUACACGAGGGAAACACAGCACUGCCGUGUGAAAAUAAAAGAACUUUGCCAAGCAUACCAGAAGGCAAGGGAGGCAAACAGUUGUUCUGGUGCUGAACCCCACACAUGCAGGUUCUACAAUGAGCUGCAUGUGAUUCUUGAGGGUGACCCUACCAGCACCCCCACAAGCAACAUGGACACCUCACAGGUGUGUGAGUCAGGGACAACAAGGAAGAUUAUAUGGUGGAUGAUGAUGAGGAGGAUAAUGGGAGACAGGCGAGCGGUGAAUCCAUUCUCCCUGAGAGCCAGGACAUAUUUUUAACCCUGGAGCACUGGGGGUUGCAGGACAUCACAGUGGCUGACAGUGAUGCCUGGAAAGGCGCCUCUGCUGGAAAUGUGUCCUUCGGCAGGUCAUCAACACCUGAAAGCAGACUUUUGAUGAUUAGAAGGAGGAGAAAGAGAACACAAGAAGACGUGUUCGCCGAGAUAAUGAACACAUCUGGGACAACUGAUGCAGAGCUGAGAG